rnacentral:SRP_RNA from 1 species
GCUGGGUAUGGUGGUGUAUGCCUGUAUCCUGGCUACCUGGAAGGAUAAGGCUGGCAGAUCUUUGGAAAUUAGAAGUUAUGAGAUGCAGUACAGUAAGGAACCAAUUUUCAUACUAAGUCUAUCAUCAAUAUGGUGAGGCCUCGCAGGAGCAAAGACUACCAGGUUGCCUAAGAAGGUAUGAACCAGCCCAGAGCAGGAACAAAUAAAGUCAAAACUCCCAUGCUGAUCAAUAGUGGGAUUGGGCUCCUGAGUACCCUGUACUUCAAGCCUGGGCCAGAUAGUGACAGCCAGUGUUA